UCUUUGUUUUUUUUCUUCUGUUUCUUUUUACUUUCUCAACUUAUUUAUCUUUGAAUCAAAUCUCUAAUUUUUUUACUAUAAUUGUUAUUUUUGUUUUCACUUUAAACUUUUUUGCAUGUAACUAAUUUAUAUAUAUUUAAUUUUUCAAUUUACUUUGUUUUUAAGAGAAGAAAUAGCAUCAUUUGUGAAUUUUGAUUUAUGUUUUCAAUACGGUAAUAGUUUCCAAGUUAACUCGACAUAUAACCAUCAAAAUAUC
rnacentral:lncRNA from 1 species